rnacentral:rRNA from 1 species
UACAGAGGGUGCGAGCGUUAAUCGGAAUUACUGGGCGUAAAGCGUGCGCAGGCGGUUUUGUAAGCCAGAUGUGAAAUCCCCGGGCUCAACCUGGGAAUGGCAUUUGGGACUGCAAGGCUUGAGUGCGGCAGAGGAGACUGGAAUUCCUGGUGUAGCAGUGAAAUGCGUAGAUAUCAGGAGGAAUACCGAUGGCGAAGGCAGGUCUCUGGGCCGAUACUGACGCUGAGGAGCGAAAGCGUGGGGAGCGAACAGG